GCGGAUGAAAUCUAGGGUUCCGGUCUACGGGACGACUGGUCCAAGAGAUUUCAGCCGGCUCUGCCGGCACACGGAGGGAUAAAAGCCCGGGAGAC
rnacentral:sRNA from 1 species